CCGGCGAUCUUUUCUCUGAGGCAACCAAAGGAAGCCCAAUUGACGGUCCCUUAUGACGGCGACGAUCAAACCGGCGGCGGCUAACACGGCGGCGGCCAGUGGUAAGGGAAACCCAGAUGUCGAACCCCACUUCAUUUGAGACGAUAAGUAGUUCCGGAUCAUUGAUUCAAUUCAAGUAAUUUGCCUUUACAGCUGCUUCUUUUUGGCGGCGAAGUCGACGGCUUUAGGAUUCGGGGAGACUUGGUUGGAAUCGGGAACUUAGAAUCUUAUAGAACUAGGGAAUCCCUACAGAAAUUAAUUAAUAAGAAGAGAACAUGAUACUUCCUUUGGGUUGUAUCAAGUGAGCUUCUUUCUUUCAUAAAAUUUCUUGUGUAGGAUUAGGAUUUUUUAUUACCAAAUACUUAGUAUCAGGAU
rnacentral:lncRNA from 1 species